rnacentral:rRNA from 1 species
UACGAAGGGUGCAAGCGUUACUCGGAAUUACUGGGCGUAAAGCGUGCGUAGGUGGUUUGUUAAGUCUGUUGUGAAAGCCCCGGGCUCAACCUGGGAAUGGCAAUGGAUACUGGCAGGCUAGAGUGCGGUAGAGGGUAGUGGAAUUCCCGGUGUAGCGGUGAAAUGCGUAGAGAUCGGUAGGAACACCAGUGGCGAAGGCGGCUACCUGGACCAGCACUGACACUGAGGCACGAAAGCGUGGGGAGCAAACAGG